AGAGUUUGAUCCUGGCUCAGAUUGAACGCUGGCGGCAGGCCUAACACAUGCAAGUCGAGCGGGCGUAGCAAUACGUCAGCGGCAGACGGGUGAGUAACGCGUGGGAACAUACCUUUUGGUUCGGAACAACACAGGGAAACUUGUGCUAAUACCGGAUAAGCCCUUACGGGGAAAGAUUUAUCGCCGAAAGAUUGGCCCGCGUCUGAUUAGCUAGUUGGUGAGGUAACGGCUCACCAAGGCGACGAUCAGUAGCUGGUCUGAGAGGAUGAUCAGCCACAUUGGGACUGAGACACGGCCCAAACUCCUACGGGAGGCAGCAGUGGGGAAUAUUGGACAAUGGGCGAAAGCCUGAUCCAGCCAUGCCGCGUGAGUGAUGAAGGCCCUAGGGUUGUAAAGCUCUUUUGUGCGGGAAGAUAAUGACGGUACCGCAAGAAUAAGCCCCGGCUAACUUCGUGCCAGCAGCCGCGGUAAUACGAAGGGGGCUAGCGUUGCUCGGAAUCACUGGGCGUAAAGGGUGCGUAGGCGGGUUUUUAAGUCAGAGGUGAAAUCCUGGAGCUCAACUCCAGAACUGCCUUUGAUACUGAGAAUCUUGAGUUCGGGAGAGGUGAGUGGAACUGCGAGUGUAGAGGUGAAAUUCGUAGAUAUUCGCAAGAACACCAGUGGCGAAGGCGGCUCACUGGCCCGAUACUGACGCUGAGGCACGAAAGCGUGGGGAGCAAACAGGAUUAGAUACCCUGGUAGUCCACGCCGUAAACGAUGAAUGCCAGCCGUUGGUGGGUUUACUCACUAGUGGCGCAGCUAACGCUUUAAGCAUUCCGCCUGGGGAGUACGGUCGCAAGAUUAAAACUCAAAGGAAUUGACGG
rnacentral:rRNA from 1 species